rnacentral:misc_RNA from 1 species
AUAAGAUUAAAGAACAAAUACAAUGUAGAGACCUGAAAAUUCAUGGUUCCUUUUGAUUCUGCAAGGAGUAAUGAAAAAAAUGAUUAAUCAAUCUUCCAUUAGGCAUAAUUCUUCAAGUUCAGACUUAAAAUCAUCCGCAGUUUGUAUUUUCAUCUUAGUUGAAAUUUCAUGCAAUAAUGUAUAUAUUUCAUCACACUUUGCGUGUGAUGAAUCUUCCACGAUGAACUUUUGAAUUUCACCUUCCCCUUCGAUAAAACUAUAUCCAGCUGCCUUUAUAAUUUUGCCGCCCUUCAUCAGCUUUCUAAGCUUUGCAACCCCAUCCCAUCGGCCUGCCGAUGCAUAUAUAUUGGAAAGGAUUACAUAGUUUCCUGGACUCCAGGGUUCUAAUUGAAAUAGAGAGUUGGCUGCUAUUUCUGCAAGCUCAACAUUUUUAUGGAAACUGCAAGCACCUAGUAGUGCUCCCCAUAUUACAGAAUCGGGCUUCAUGGGCAUCCUCUUUAUGAGAUCAUAAGCUUCUUGCAGUUCUCCGGCACGCCCUAGGAGGUCAACCAUGCAGCCAUAGUGUUCCAAUUUGGGAGUGAUCCUAAACAUUUUUUCCAUUGAUUGGAAAAGUUGCCGACCUUUUACAAUCAUGCCCCCAUGAGUACAUGCUAAGAGAAGUCCCACAAAUGUCACAUCGUCAGGUGCGGUUCCAUCUCUCAGCAUUUGGCCAUAGAGCUGAAGGGCUUCAUUGCUUCUUCCGUGGAUAGCCAAGCCCAUGAUCAUCGAAUUCCAAGAGCACACAUUUCUCCUCUUGCCAAUAAUCUCAUCAAACACCUGCUUUGCCACAUCGAUUUUACCACACCUUGCAUACAUUUCCAAUAAGGCAUUGCUUACAUACAAAUUCCUAAGGAAUCCAUAUUUUCUGGCAUAUGCUUGAAUCCUCUCCCCAACUUCCAAUGCGCCCAGAUUUGCACAUGCUGGAAGUAUACUUGCAAUAGUUACUUCAUUUGGCAUUAAACCUUUCUCCUUCUCCAUGUCCAGGAACAUUUCUAAUGCCUUAGAAUACAUUCCAUUCUGUGAGUACCCGGAUAUCAUUGCGGUCCAUGAGACCACAUUCCUGCUAGGCAUUAGUCUAAACAACUCUAGCGCUCCCUCCAUAUUCCCAUGCCUUGAAUAACCUGCAAUUAACGCAUUCCAAGUGGCUGUAUGUCUCAGAGUCAUUUCAUCAAACACUUGGCUUGCCAAGACUAAAAUGCCCAAUUUAGCAUACAUAUCAACUAAAG